rnacentral:rRNA from 1 species
AGACACCUACGGGUGGCAGCAGUCGAGAAUAAUUCACAAUGGACGCAAGUCUGAUGGUGCAACGCCGCGUGGAGGAUGACGGUCUUAGGAUUGUAAACUCCUGUCAUCUGGGAGAAAGACCUGGCGAUUAAUAGUCGACAGGGUUGAUAGUACCAGAAGAGGAAGGGACGGCUAACUUCGUGCCAGCAGCCGCGGUAAUACGAAGGUCCCGAGCGUUAUUCGGAAUCACUGGGCGUAAAGGGAGCGUAGGCGGCGCGGUAAGUCGGAUGUGAAAUCCCGGGGCUCAACCCCGGAACUGCAUCUGAUACUGCCGUGCCAGAGUAAUGGAGGGGUAGCUGGAAUUCUCGGUGUAGCAGUGAAAUGCGUAGAUAUCGAGAGGAACACUCGUGGCGAAAGCGAGCUACUGGACAUUUACUGACGCUGAGGCUCGAAGGCUAGGGGAGCGAAAGGGAUUAGAUACCCCUGUAGUCCUAGCAGUAAACGGUGCACGCUUGGUGUGAGGGGAAUCGACCCCCCUUGUGCCGGAGCUAACGCGUUAAGCGUGCCGCCUGGGAAGUACGGUCGCAAGACUAAAACUCAAAGAAAUUGACGGGGACCCGCACAAGCGGU